CAGUAGCCGCGGUAAUACGUAGGUCCCGAGCGUUGUCCGGAUUUAUUGGGCGUAAAGGGAGCGCAGGCGGUUUAGUAAGUCUGGAGUUAAAGGCAUUGGCUCAACCAAUGUAUGCUUUGGAAACUGCUUGACUUGAGUGCAGAAGGGGAGAGUGGAAUUCCAUGUGUAGCGGAGAAAUGCGUAGAUAUAUGGAGGAACACCGGUGGCGAAGGCGACUCUCUGGUCUGUAACUGACGCUGAGGAGCGAAAGCGUGGGGAGCGAACAGGAUUAGAUACCCCUGUAGUCCCUGUCUCUUAUACC
rnacentral:rRNA from 1 species